UCUCUCUCUCUCUCUCUCUAUAUAUAUAUAUAUAUAUAUAUAUAUAUAUAUAUAUGCAUAUUGUAUUUCACUGAUGAAUGUUCGUUCAUAAACAGGCGUGAAUCCUCUACAAGUUGAUUCUGUCCUCACAUUUUUAGGUAUGUGAAACCUCAAUUAUUAUCUGAAUUGUAUACGAUUCAAUCCGUCUGUUAUUCUUUCCGCUAAUUUUUUUUACACUCAUUACAUAUUAUUUGCUUACUUUUCUUUCUGAAAUGAAACAUGAUCAAGCAAAGGCAAAUCAGAUGCAUUGAAGGAACAACCAUCAAAUCAAAUCUCUUGGUUCUCUAUGCAGAUUACAAUGCCAAUAUCCAUAGAAAUAUAUGCUAAAAAAAAACCCAUUUAGCAGAGUGCUACCCCAAAACCUAAUAACUCAAAUAGCAUCAGGCAGCUACUUCGCUUACAAAUUAAUCAUCUUCCUCCAAAACAUAGUUGAACUUUACUGGAAGACCAUUGAGUUCUAACAUCCUAUGUUUUAGCAGUUUGACGUUUCGAUAAUCUUCUCUAUUAGGUCGAAAAACACAUUGAACACGACAUAGAAGGAAUCUUAAUUCAAGAUCAGCUGAGUCCCUCUAUGUAUCUCCCAAUAAGGACGUGUUAAAUGUCAGCCGUCCUGCCAGACACCGUUUCUUUGGAAAAUGCAGAUUAUAGAGCGAAAAUUCUAAACCUCGUUUAAGAGAAUGAUUUGGUGUAGAAAGUCUCAAAUUCAAGAUCUUUCGCUGUGCGAAUUUCCUGAGAAACGAAAUACAUUUUGUUUGUUUGGUUUGGUUUGGUUAGGGAACGAUGAGGAAAUAUAAGUUGUUACUUAUCAAAUACCUUCAGUCUCUUUUGUUACCCAUGGAAAACAAACUUUUCUCAGUAGGCUUCAUUUCACUUUAACUAGCCUUCCUUUCAAUGUAGCUGUAUUGUGAUUGAAAGUAAAAACUAGCACCUUGUCUAGUGAUCAAAAUUGUAUUGUCCCGUUGUGGAAUUCUUUCAGAACAGCUGGCGUUGAAAUGUUAUGAAAGGGGCAUGGCAAUCAUCCAAACCACCAAAAAAGUUACCCGCAAUCAAAGGAGCCCUCACGGCUAGCAUGGAGGAAUGGAAAGAGUGGCUUCAUACCAAUGUCAACCACUCCAGAACAAACUCACAGGGUUAUUUCUUAAGUGUCCUAGUUUUAGUUACACUUUGGAAAAUUUGGCUUGCUAAAAAUGGAAAAAGUCUUUGAUGAUGUCAUUGUUAGUUCAUUUGAUAUUUGCUUUACUCGUGCUAAAUUUGCCCAUGAAAUUGGGAAGAGUUUUACAUCUGUUGCUUGUGCUAAACCUAGACAAAUUAGACUGAUUGCAUGGAAUUUUCCAGGUACGGGAAAGCUGAAGUUAAACACUGAUGGAAAUCCGGGACCUGCUGGGUUUGGAGGAGUUUUUUGAGAGGAGAGAGGGCAUUGGAUGCUGGGAUUUCUAGGACGGGUGGAAGACUGUACGAGCCUUGAGGCCGAACUUUUGUGGAUUUUUAGAGGCCUGGAGAUGAUCCAAAAUCAUGGUAUGGAGGCUAUGUAAAUUGACACCAACUCAGCAACCGCCAUUGCUAUGACAACUGAGGAGUACCCUGACCACUCCCCACACAAAGUGCUGAUCCAAGAGUGAAAGGUGCUGCUAGAGGCUACAGGAUGUCUUCUCAAGCAUACAUUCCGUGAGGGAAACCAAGUGGUGGAUAGACUCGCCAAUGUGUUUGUAAACCAAGAGGACAAGAUGAUGUUGCAUGUUAUCCCGCCCGACGACAUUAUUCCGCUGCUUGAGGAGGACAUGCGGGGCAUGGAUUUUGAGCGUUUCUAUUUUUUUUUUCAUUUCCAGAUAGUAGCCAGGAAGAGUAAUUGGGUGUCAAUCCUUUACAAAUUAAUUCUGGCCUCACAUAUUCUGGUGUGCGAAAGCUCAAUUUUUAUCCGAAUUGUAUACAUUCAAUCAGUCUCUUAUUCAUUCAAUUUUUAUCCGAAUUGAUAGAUUAACUUUCU